GCCAGGUGUGCUGAGCCAUUGAAAGGAGUUUUAUCAGCAGGCAGGGCUGCGAGUCAAACUGGGGAGCCUUAAUUCCCUAAGCAGAGCGAAACCUCCCUGCAGAUAAAAGACUUGCCUGACUCGUUCCAGAGGGAGUUGGUGACACGGCUGCACCCUCGCCCCCUUCUCCCUUAGGAAAAUAUGGCCCUGGGGGCAGAGUGCAGAGGGAUGAUCAAAGGCAAGUGCAGCUUGGCUGCCUGCUGCCAGCAGCAGCAAGGCCAGCCCGUGUUUAGCAGGGAGCAGAGCUGUUGGAGAGCUGGGCUCCAGAGGCACCACCUGCCUCCUGCCACAAAGCCUCUCCUCCACUUCUGGCCACUGGAACCAGGGAGGAAAGCCUUUCCUACAAGGGGAGACAGUGGAAGAGAUCUGGGCUGGCAGAGCAUCCUCCAGAGAAGGAAGGGGCUCUUUGCAUGCAGGUCAAGGAGAGGGCCUGUCUCUGGGUCAUUGGGCACUCCCUCAGUCCCUGGCUCCUGAGUUACACACUGUAAAUUAAGUAAUUUUCAAGAAGAAUCAUGAUCUCUAAAUCCAGUCUGAGCACUGGACGCCUGCCUGCUCCUACCAAUGUGAGCAGGUAGAGCCAGAAGAUGCCCCCCAUCUUCUUCUUCUCCUUCUCUGAUGCAUUCAAGUUGGUCUCUUUCUCCCUUUCCAUGGCCCUUGGAAAGGCUUGCAAGGCUCAUGUGCCCAAGCAAUGAAGAUCAGAAGUCCCCAGCAGUGACAGGCCCUCUCCACCCCCAGUGCUCCCUGGGCAGCAGCCACCCAUCAGGGCUGCUUCAGCUCCUGUAAUCCCACCUUGCACCUGAGCAGAGCAGCCCCUGCCAGAGCCAGAUGUGGCUGCUGCUGUCCACUGAGGCUUAGAUAUCAUCAGGAUUGGAUGGACUAGAGCCCAACAAGGCUGCUCUAGACACCCUUUCCUGCUUUUCACAUGCAAAGAGCCAGGACAUGUCAGGAGCUUCAGCAGUGCCAUCACCCACCUCUGCCACCCAGCACACCUGUGGGAACCCAGGAAAUUCCUCUGGAUGCCUUAGAGGACUCAGGACCCUGCCCAGGGGGCUCAGAGACCUUGGCACAGGGCCCAAGACCGCUGUGUCUUUGAUUUAGCCCUUGGAAAAAACAAUUACCAAUCUUUACAUGAAGGAUUACAAGCCACAGCAGUUUAAGUAGAAUAAUAGUGAAGUUAUCACAGGGUGGAAAAGUAGAUUUUAGGGUUUCUAGAAUGGGAGUUCUGGGGGCAAGAUGUAGGGAUCUGUGCAUGUCCAGCCUUUCUCCUUCUCCUUCUUGGCCUCCAUCUUCUGCUGUGAUGGUGGCACUUACAGAUUGAUUUAGAGCAGAAGCUCACUGUCUAACAUGGGUGAUAGGUAUUGGGAAGUUAUGGUAAAUAUUGUACACGUAGUUUUUAGUAUAAAGAUAUAACACUACCCUGGGGACAGGCAGAGUGUCUGGAACUGUCCUGCUGGAUGGACCUCGGCAGGGCAGGAGAAAAUUUUUUAUAGAUAAGAUACAAUAAACAACCUUGAGACUGAGAAAUGAAGAGCCCU
ensembl:lncRNA